rnacentral:sRNA from 1 species
GUAUCGAUGAUCUCCGGGCAGAUAAAGUGAAUGUGCGUGUCAACACCGCCCGGUGUUACAAUGUAGCCCCAGCCGCCGUGUACUUCCGUACCGGGACCGAUGAUCAUACCCGGAGUUACGCCGUCCUGCGUAUCAGGGUUGCCGGCUUUACCGAUAGCUUUGAUUUUACCGUCCUUAAUACCGAUAUCUGCCUUCACAAUGCCCCAGUGAUCGAUGAUCACUGCGCCGAGGAUACAUAGGUCCAGCACGUCUUUGUCGAGCGCGGAAGUGGCCUGUCCCAUGCCAUCACGCAC